rnacentral:rRNA from 1 species
UACGUAGGGAGCAAGGCGUUGUCCGGAAUCAUUGGGCGUAAAGCGCGCGUAGGUGGCCAUGUAAGUCCGCUGUGAAAGUCAAAGGCUCAACCUUUGAAAGCCGGUGGAUACUGCAUGGCUAGAGUACGGAAGAGGCGAAGUGGAAUUCCUGGUGUAGGCGGUGAAAUGCGCAGAUAUCGGGAAGAACACCCGUGGCGAAGGCGGCACUCUCGGGAGCGGUACUGACGCUGAGACGCGAAAGCGUGGGAGCGAACAGG